rnacentral:rRNA from 1 species
AUUAGAUACCCUGGUAGUCCGCGCGGUAAACGAUGGAUGCCCGCUGUCGGCGAUAUACAGUCGGCGGCCAAGCGAAAGCGUUAAGCAUCCCACCUGGGGAGUACGCCGGCAACGGUGAAACUCAAAGGAAUUGACGGGGGCCCGCACAAGCGGAGGAACAUGUGGUUUAAUUCGAUGAUACGCGAGGAACCUUACCCGGGCUUGAAUUGCAGAGGAAAGAUCCAGAGAUGGUGAUGCCCUUCGGGGCCUCUGUGAAGGUGCUGCAUGGUUGUCGUCAGCUCGUGCCGUGAGGUGUCGGCUUAAGUGCCAUAACGAGCGCAACCCCUUUCCCUAGUUGCCAUCGGUUCUAGCCGGGCACUCUGGGGACACUGCCUCCGCAAGGAGUGAGGAAGGUGGGGAUGACGUCAAAUCAGCACGGCCCUUACGUCCGGGGCUACACACGUGUUACAAUGGGUGAUACAGAGGGCCGGCCGCUGGCAACAUCGGUCCAAUCCUUAAAGUCAUCCUCAGUUCGGACUGGGGUCUGCAACCCGACCCCACGAAGCUGGAUUCGCUAGUAAUCGCGCAUCAGCCAUGGCGCGGUGAAUACGUUCCCGGGCCUUGUACACACCGCCCGUCAAGCCAUGAAAGCCGGGGGCGCCUGAAGUCCGUGACCGCGAGGGUCGGCCUAGGGUGAAACCGGUGAUUGGGGCUAAGUCGUAACAAGG